rnacentral:rRNA from 1 species
UACGAAGGGGGCUAGCGGUGUUCGGCCUCACUGGGCGUAAAGAGCGCGAAGGCGGAUAUGCAAGUCAGGGGUGAAAUCCCGGGGCCUAACCUCGGAACUGCCUUUGAAACUGCAUAUCUGGAGACUCGGAGGGGAUAGCGGAAUUCCAAAUGUAGGGGUGAAAUCCGUAGAUAUUUGGAGGAACACCGGUGGCGAAGGCGGCUAUCUGGACGAGUACUGACGCUGAGGCGCGAACGCGUGGGUAGCAAACAGG